rnacentral:tRNA from 1 species
UCACGGGUAGUUCAAUCGAUAGAACGUCCGGUUCUGGUCCGGAAGGCUCCUGGUUUGAGUCCAGGCCCGUGAACCA